rnacentral:rRNA from 1 species
GUCCAGACUCCUACGGGAGGCAGCAGUGAGGAAUAUUGGUCAAUGGGCGAGAGCCUGAACCAGCCAAGUCGCGUGAGGGAGUACUGCCCUAUGGGUUGUAAACCUCUUUUGUCGGGGAGCAAAAGCCGGACGUGUCCGGCUGUGAGAGUACCCGAAGAAAAAGCAUCGGCUAACUCCGUGCCAGCAGCCGCGGUAAUACGGAGGAUGCGAGCGUUAUCCGGAUUUAUUGGGUUUAAAGGGUGCGUAGGCGGAAUGCCAAGUCAGCGGUAAAAUCGGGGGGCUCAACCUCGCUCCGCCGUUGAAACUGGCAGUCUCGAGUUGGAGAGAAGUAUGCGGAAUGCGCGGUGUAGCGGUGAAAUGCAUAGAUAUCGCGCAGAACUCCGAUUGCGAAGGCAGCAUGCCGGCUCCACACUGACGCUGAGGCACGAAAGCGUGGGUAUCGAACAGGAUUAGAUACCCCAGUA